rnacentral:lncRNA from 1 species
GUUCUUCUGACAGUCUCACCAAAUACUUAGAUGUGAGAGGUUUUUUCUUUAUUUUUAACUUAAGAAGAAUGAGAACAACAUAAUUAUACUUUCAUCUGCUCUCUAAUCUGAGGAACACACAAUAGCCACAACUGGCCAAUUUCCAGUAAAACCUCCCUCCUAAGGUCUUAGGAUCCAAACAGUCUGUUCCCUGGGUAAAGACUGCUCCGGGGAAGAAUUCUUCCCCUUCCUUCUACUGGCUAUCCUUUUUCUAAUACAAUGAACAGCAUCUAAGCCAGGUUUCUGCCCCAUAUUUUGAGGCCCUGGAUGAACCAAGCCUGGAUAGCUGAGAAACAAACUCAGGUCCUAAGGCAGUCAUGUCCACCUUGCUGGCUUUCACAUCUCUAUACUUAAUCCUGGAGGAAACAGAAGAACACCUGUUUGAGCCAGAAUUCUUGUCAGGAGGACUUCUGGAUAGGAGAAUGAAUUGUAGAUGUGAUGGCUGGAGUUCAAGCAGCCAUCUUGUGCCAUAAGAUGAAAACUACACACUGAGGAUGGUGGAGCAUCAAGAGAGAAGGAGCCUGAGUCUGUGAGGACUUCUUAAAGCUGCUCUGCCAGCCCUGGGCAUUCAAAUUUUUUAUAUAUGUAAAAGAAAAAUAAAUUCCUAUUUUGGUUAAACCCUUGUUACUUGGAUUUUCUGUCAGUUGCAAAUACCAUAUUCCUAAACCCUAGUUGAUAUAGGUAGUAGGUAUAUUCCAAAUGGAGUACUUGCUUCCCACCCUCACUCCUUGCCAUGCAGUAGGCACACUUCCCUUAGCCCCCUCCACUGAUCUUAAAUAUGGUACAGGAUGAAGUACAUUUACCUCACGACGACAACAAAGAAUACUGUGAAACACAAAUGUUAAAUAUACACGCCUGUUAUAUCCAGUCACUGAAUAUUCCUAGACGGGCUCAGACUUGAUCUUCACCUCACCCACACCUGCUGAAGCUCUAUUUUUACCCUGACCUACAGGGCAAGCUCUCAGGCUGAACUGGCCUCUAUUUCUGCAGGGAGACUUUGCCGAUUUCCUGGAACUCUAUGGAAGGCUCCAACUUUGGUCUUUUUCAAGGCCAUACAGUUUGAAUCUUGACUCCACCACUUUUCCGCUCUUUGACCCCAGGCAAUUUAUCGAAUCCCUCAGUAUCUCAAUUUUCUUACGUAUAAAAUGAGAAUAAUCUCGUAGUCGUUGUAAGGAUUGAAGAAGCAAUACACACAAAGCUCUUGGUGCCUAAUGAAUAAAAACUCCCCAAAG